GUACUUCCCUGGCAGAGAAGAGACCAUGGCCAAGAAUGUAGGUUUUCUAGAGCAAAGCUAAUCUACUGUACUUGAGAUGUGCUGACCACUGAAAGUUCUGAAAAUUCAGUAAACUCUACUGUGUAAGUUGUUGUUGUGGGGGACUGUAUUCAUGCUCUCCCCUA
ensembl:snRNA U1 U1 spliceosomal RNA